rnacentral:lncRNA from 1 species
AAAGUACCCAGAUAAUGAGACAAUAAUUGCAGAUAAUUCAUACAUCUCUCCUUCAGACAAUAGAAAAUCUAUAUAAUAAAAGCCAAUUAUGUACAGAAGAGAAUCUUGGGAAAACUGUUAAAACUGGACAUUUUUGAAUAGGAAUCAAAGUGUUCCUUGGUUCAUAGAAAACUGAGGAUAUUGUAAGAACCUAAAAACUUCAAUAUAAAAAAUAUUAAAUAUUAUAAAAUAGUAAGGAUAAUAAUGUAGACCUACAUGAAGAAUUAAAUAUAUUUAAAUGAGUGAUUCAAAAUAUAAAAUAAUGGAAAUGAGUAAUUACAUUGAAAGAAUGAACAAUGAAAAGAAUUAAAAUAUAUAGGCUUUACCUAUAUUAGACCUUAGGAAAAAAUAUGUAUCUCUGAACAUUUAAAUCAAUAAAAGUAUUAAUAAACAGCCUGCAUUUUUAAAACUACAAAUUCCAAUAGUUUAAUAAUCCCCAAACUAGCAUGAAGCAGAAAUUUUGAAAUCAAAUAAACCAAAUGAAAAGCAAAGCUUUUUGAAUUAACAAAACAAUGAUGUAAAAAGAAAGAAAAUAAACUAAAGCAUUCUGCUCUCCUUUUUAAAAAUUCUAAAUUCAAAAUUACCAAAAUCAAAGAUAAGAUGGUAGAAUUCAUGACAAAUGCAAAAAAUAUAAAGAAAAUUAUCAAGAGUUAUAAUUUAUUAGUCUGGUUCUGGAUUUGAAGAAACAAAAAUGGUUCUAUAUGCCUUAAAGGAUUUAAUGAUAGUGCAAGAAACACCAAUGGAACUGACCAAAAAGAAAAAGAUUAUAAAAAUAUAUGUCAUAUCUCAUUUUAAGAUAUGUGUUUAUUUCAUGAUAUCUGUGAAUUCCUGUAUUAAUAUAUAGAGACAGAGACAUAUACACAUUAAAUGCAUAUAUAUAUAUAAUAGCAACCCAAGUAAUCAUCAUCCAGGCUAACUGAUAAAUAAAAGACAAAUAUGCAAUCACAUUAGAGAUUGCUUGAGUUUCAUAGAAGCCCUCAGAGAUGAUUUAGUUAAUUGAUGCCUGAGUAAGAGUCCCUUCUAUUAAGAACUUAGUCAAGUGUUUAUUCAUUUAUUUGUCUGAGGAUCCCAAGAGAGAGAACUUAGAAUAUCCUUAGGCAGUCCAUUCCUCUUCUGG